GAUGAACGCUGGCGGCGUGCCUAAUACAUGCCAGUCGAGCGAACAGACGAGGAGCUUGCUCCUCUGACGUUAGCGGCGGACGGGUGAGUAACACGUGGAUAACCUACCUAUAAGACUGGGAUAACUUCGGGAAACCGGAGCUAAUACCGGAUAAUAUAUUGAACCGCAUGGUUCAAUAGUGAAAGACGGUUUUGCUGUCACUUAUAGAUGGAUCCGCGCCGCAUUAGCUAGUUGGUAAGGUAACGGCUUACCAAGGCAACGAUGCGUAGCGACCUGAGAGGGUGAUCGGCCACACUGGAACUGAGACACGGUCCAGACUCCUACGGGAGGCAGCAGUAGGGAAUCUUCCGCAAUGGGCGAAAGCCUGACGGAGCAACGCCGCGUGAGUGAUGAAGGUCUUCGGAUCGUAAAACUCUGUUAUUAGGGAAGAACAAAUGUGUAAGUAACUAUGCACGUCUUGACGGUACCUAAUCAGAAAGCCACGGCUAACUACGUG
rnacentral:rRNA from 1 species